rnacentral:rRNA from 1 species
CCCCUAGAUGUUCUGGGCCGCACGCGCGCUACACUGACCAGUGCAACAAGCAUCCGUCCUUGGCCGACAGGCCCGGGCAAUCUUUGAACGCUGGUCGUGAUGGGGAUAGACUUUUGCAAUUUUUGGUCUUCAACGAGGAAUUCCUAGUAAACGCAAGUCAUCAACUUGCAUUGAUUACGUCCCUGCCCUUUGUACACACCGCCCGUCGCACCUACCGAUUGAAUGGUCCGGUGAAAUCUCGGGACGGCGGCUUGGUCGCUUGCGUCCGACUGCUGAAACUUGAUUAAACCAUAUCAUUUAGAGGAAGGUGAAGUCGUAACA